AGUGAACGCUGGCGGCAGGCCUAACACAUGCAAGUCGAACGGCAGCACAGGAGAGCUUGCUCUCUGGGUGGCGAGUGGCGGACGGGUGAGGAAUGCGUCGGAAUCUGCCUAUUUGUGGGGGAUAACGUAGGGAAACUUACGCUAAUACCGCAUACGACCUACGGGUGAAAGUGGGGGACCGCAAGGCCUCACGCAGAUAGAUGAGCCGACGCCGGAUUAGCUAGUUGGCGGGGGAAAGGCCCACCAAGGCGACGAUCCGUAGCUGGUCUGAGGGGAAGAUCAGCCAAACUGGAACUGAGACACGGUGCAGACUCCUAAGGGAGGCAGCAGUGGGGAAUAUUGGACAAUGGGCGCAAGCCUGAUCCAGCCAUGCCGCGUGUGUGAAGAAGGCCUUCGGGUUGUAAAGCACUUUUGUCCGGAAAGAAAAGCAUUCGGCUAAUAACCGGGUGUUAUGAUGGUACCGGAAGAAUAAGCACCGGCUAACUUCGUGCCAGCAGCCGCAGUAAAAC
rnacentral:rRNA from 1 species